ensembl:snRNA U6 U6 spliceosomal RNA
UUGCUUUACCAGCACAUACACUAAAACUGGAAUGAUACAGAUAAGAUUAGCAUAAGUUCCUGUGUAAGGAUGACAUGCAAAUAAAUGAAGCAUUCCAUAUUUUU